rnacentral:rRNA from 1 species
AGACCCGAAACCCGGUGAUCUAGCCAUGGGCAGGUUGAAGGUUGGGUAACACUAACUGGAGGACCGAACCGACUAAUGUUGAAAAAUUAGCGGAUGACCUGUGGCUGGGGGUGAAAGGCCAAUCAAACCGGGAGAUAGCUGGUUCUCCCCGAAAGCUAUUUAGGUAGCGCCUCGUGAAUUCAUCUCCGGGGGUAGAGCACUGUUUCGGCUAGGGGGCCAUCCCGGCUUACCAACCCGAUGCAAACUGCGAAUACCGGAGAAUGUUAUCACGGGAGACACACGGCGGGUGCUAACGUCCGUCGUGAAGAGGGAAACAACCCAGACCGCCAGCUAAGGUCCCAAAGUCAUGGUUAAGUGGGAAACGAUGUGGGAAGGCCCAGACAGCCAGGAUGUUGGCUUAGAAGCAGCCAUCAUUUAAAGAAAGCGUAAUAGCUCACUGGUCGAGUCGGCCUGCGCGGAAGAUGUAACGGGGCUAAACCAUGCACCGAAGCUGCGGCAGCGAACGUAUCACUUAAAGCGAUUCAGCGGGUUACGAUUGACGGAGCGAAGCGACGUCAAAGCGUAUACAAAGUCGAGUCGGUUUAAGGAUACGUUCGUUGGGUAGGGGAGCGUUCUGUAAGCCUGUGAAGGUGUGUCGUGAGGCAUGCUGGAGGUAUCAGAAGUGCGAAUGCUGACAUAAGUAACGAUAAAGCGGGUGAAAAGCCCGCUCGCCGGAAGACCAAGGGUUCCUGUCCAACGUUAAUCGGGGCAGGGUGAGUCGACCCCUAAGGCGAGGCCGAAAGGCGUAGUCGAUGGGAAACGGGUUAAUAUUCCCGUACUUGGUGUUACUGCGAAGGGGGGACGGAGAAGGCUAUGUUGGCCGGGCGACGGUUGUCCCGGUUUAAGCGUGUAGGCUGGUUUUCCAGGCAAAUCCGGAAAAUCAAGGCUGAGGCGUGAUGACGAGGCACUACGGUGCUGAAGCAACA